UACGUAGGGGCCGAGCGUUGUCCGGAGUUACUGGGCGUAAAGCGCGCGCAGGCGGCUCGUCAAGCCUGACGUGAAAGCCCCCGGCUCAACCGGGGAGGGUCGUCGGGGACUGGCGGGCUUGAGGUCGGCAGGGGUUGGUGGAAUUCCCGGUGUAGUGGUGAAGUGCGUAGAGAUCGGGAGGAACACCCGUGGCGAAGGCGGCCAACUGGGCCGGACCUGACGCUGAGGCGCGAAGGCGUGGGGAGCGAACGGG
rnacentral:rRNA from 1 species